rnacentral:misc_RNA from 1 species
UUAGUAAUACAGCAAUUUGAUAAAAUAAACUUUUACCAUUCUAAAAUCUAAAAUCUAAAAACAGCAAUGAGCUGGCAGUCGUUAACUUUUCAAACACUUUAGGGUAGUUUGAGAAAAUAUCUAUUACAAUGCUAUUAGUGACUUCUAAAUUGUGAAUUGUGUUAUAAACUCCUUAGUGAUCAGUUAAGCGGAGAAAACUGGCCUAAUUUUGACUUUGCACCUAUAAUUUUAAAAGUAGGUUUUAUAUGUUGCUGUGAUAAUUUAGGAAUGAAAAAAUUUAAUCUAGAUAAAAUUUUAAGUGUCUCUUUCAUUAUUAAGUUAGUCUAAUAAAUAUUAAAUGUUCAACAUUAAUAUAUUAUAUUUAGCAUAUAAACGACAUUUUGGCGCAAUGGUCACAGCACUGGUUUGUGGCUGUGCACUGGCAGUUGUGGGUUCGGUCCCCGCACAUGACAAACAUUUGUAUUAGCCAUACAGAUGUUUGCAGUGCUUUGGGUGUUUGUGCAGUACUUAUGGGGGAAAAGGCAUAUGCCCAGAGGGAUGUUACAGGCCGAAGCAAUGGGAAUUAUAAAACAUGUAAUAAAUGUUACAAUGCUAAUUAGAAACAGCCAUUAUCAACUUAAAGCUAAUUUUUUAUAAAUUACAUUUUAAUUAAAUGAAACCUUACCCAUCUGUAUAUUGAUCAAUCGAUUCAGCCUGUAACAUCCCACAGCUGGGCAUAGGUCUCUUUCUCCAUAUAGUAAAAGAUACAUAUACAAAAUUAAAUAAGUACUCCAUUCAAUUGGGCUUCAAAAGCACUGUAGAACCCUUAUUUCAAAAAUUAAAAUUAUAUUUGUCCUAUUUAAUUAAUUACAGUUAAAUUGAAGCUACCACCGAUUCGGAAUGCAGAUUCUGCAGAAAAGAAUCGGCAAGAAACUUUACAGUUACUAUUAUAAAUAGCAAAAUGAGUUUUUUUAUGAAAUUAGUCAUAUACUUCCCUUGAAAAUCAUAGAGAACAGUGAUCAGCUUUUUCUCUACAAAUAAUUAACGACUCGGUAGACUCUGGGUACCUGCUAAGUAGAACAUCGCACAGGUGCCUCAGUUACGGCACCCGAUCUCAGCCAGCAUUUACCACCUCUAUCUCCAGGACAAAGUACUGUGCCAUUUCAUUUAUCGUAAGUAAAAAGGAACGAUGAUGGCCGGCAAGAAUGUCGCCGAUAUAGUGGUCGUCGUGGAGACUUUGCCCACUAAGGAGGCUAUGGAAGAGCUGUCAAGUAAAAUAAGUUAUAUUAAACAAUUUAUUAGGAUCGUUACAAUAUGAAAUUAAAUUAUCAACAAUUAUACGUAAA